UAAACAGUGAACCAGGGAAGUGCCUGCUAGC
rnacentral:piRNA from 3 species